GAGGGUGGGAAGGAAUAAAUUGGGAGUUAGAGAUUUGCAGAUACUGACUACUUUACAUUAAACAGAUAAAACGUUCAUACUGUAUAACACAGAGGACUAAUCGGAAGAGGACACGU